rnacentral:rRNA from 1 species
UACGGGGGGGGCAAGCGUUGUUCGGAAUUACUGGGCGUAAGGGCUCGUAGGCGGCCAACUAAGUCGGAUGUGAAAUCCCCAGGCUCAACUUGGGAACUGCAUCCGAUACUGGAUGGCUUGAAUUCGGGAGAGGGAUGCAGAAUUCCAGGUGUAGCGGUGAAAUGCGUAGAUAUCUGGAGGAAUACCGGUGGCGAAGGCGGCAUCCUGGACCGACAUUGACGCUGAGGAGCGAAAGCUAGGGGAGCAAACGGG